UACAGAGGGUGCAAGCGUUAAUCGGAAUUACUGGGCGUAAAGCGUGCGUAGUCGGUUAUCUAAGUCGGGUGUGAAAUCCCCGGGCUCAACCUGGGAAUUGCAUUCGAUACUGGAUAGCUAGAGUUCGGCAGAGGGAAGCGGAAUUUCCGGUGUAGCGGUGAAAUGCGUAGAUAUCGGGAAGAACACCAACGGCGAAAGCACUCUGCUGGGCCGACACUGACACUGAGAGACGAAAGCUAGGGGAGCGAAUGGG
rnacentral:rRNA from 1 species